UCAAAGCAGGGAGGUGAAUGUUCAUUCCCCAACCCAGGAACUAAACAAGUCUGACUGUUCUCUUAAGGUGCAAGUUUAAUGUAUUAAAUGCAGUAGGCAGAGACUGAGCAUGGACAGGAAACUUGUGCUUCUCAGUCCUUCUCACUCUCCUGGUACAACCUCACAGGAUUUGGGUGGUGGUCAGCCUGAUAAUCUGUUCUGAAUGAUGCAUUCUCACUCUACCUUUUCCUCUUUAUGUUGACAGACUAUUGAUUCCGUGUGCUCCUCUUAGGAAAAUAUCUGCAGCUAUUUCUAACACAUAACACAACGUGACUGAUCCAGCUUGUUUCAUGAGAUGUGACUGCUGUGUCAGAGACUUUGUCACAGCCUCUUAUGGAAGUGAUAGCAUUAAAUUGGAGCAGCACAAUGAAUUCCAGGAAGACGCUCAAUUGUCUGGGAGAAACAGAGAGGGCUGACAUCACCCCCUGGUCCCCCUGGAAUGCAGUGAUAAGUGUCAGCCUAUUUUUCUUACAGGCAAUUUCUCUGGCUAUGUGAUGUCUGGCUGCAAAUUUAAAGUAAAUGACAUUCCACAAUCUGUUAGGGAUGGGGGGGGGGGGGGGGCGAAGUCGGCAUUAUUUGUUUUAGAAUUUAAAAUAAUUUUGUGUCUGAAAAUUUCACCACUGUCUAGACAAGAUGUAUUGCUUGCCCGCUGAAAAUAUUAAAAUUUUGUAAUGUACAGCCGACAAAGCCACUUUCUUAGCAAACAUACAGAUUCAAUUUAAGAUUUUUAGACUCCUUUUUACAGCAUAUUAUAUUAUUAUUACCUCUGGGGGAGCCAGAUUAAAUCUAAUUCAGGUAGUCAAACACGGUACCAUUCUGUGCAAGGCCAGGUUGUCACAGCAUUUUCUUUAAAAGCCUCUUAAUCAUCUCAAUGUUUUGCAUUUUGUUGCAUUUCAGCACUAAUGCAGCAGCACAUUUG